UACAGAGGUCUCAAGCGUUGUUCGGAAUCACUGGGCGUAAAGGGUGCGUAGGCGGCACGGUAAGUCAGAGGUGAAAUCCCGGAGCUCAACUUCGGAAUUGCCUCCGAUACUGCCGUGCUUGAGGACUGGAGAGGAGAUUGGAAUUCACAGUGGAGCAGUGAAAUGCGUAGAUAUUGUGAGGAACACUAGUGGCGAAGGCGAAUCUCUGGACAGUUCCUGACGCUGAGGCACGAAGGCCAGGGGAGCGAACGGG
rnacentral:rRNA from 1 species